CCAGCCUUAGGAUCCGAAGAGCAGCAGUAGAAGUCGCUCAUUUAAACACUACCAACAUGCAGAGUGGGCAGAAGGAGAAAAAUCUUGAUCCCAGAAAGGGCAGGACAUGAGUACCUAAGGAGAAGUUGAUGCUUGAGAGGAAGUGAAACCUGUAACAGCUACACUAGGUUUCAGUCUCUGGUGGUUUUCAUUUAGGAGGAAAGAAAAAUUUAUAAACACGACUGUAAAAAUUGUAUGAUGCAAACUCCUUGGAAUCUUGGCCGAAAGUAAAAGCAGUGCUCUGUAAGAAGACAGAAAGAAAUCUGAGACUAAAUGCAACAAACACAUAAAAGAAACCAUCCAGAUAACUUUCUGUGUCAAGUUUUCAAGGAUGAAGUAAGCGUGGACUGGGGUUUUAUUAUUGAAAAUGUUUUCAGGAAACUUGAAAGCUCAUUACG